rnacentral:lncRNA from 1 species
CUUGGGGCUUGGUCUGCAGUAGGAGACAAUUAUUCUGCAAUCUUCCUGGUCCUGCCAUUAAUUUAUUUAAGUCCUGGAAGAAUACUUAAAUUGGUCUCAAGUUCCAUCAGCAAGAUGGGACGACUCCAUUGAAAAGAAACAUAAUAUAUGGAAAAAUUACUAGAAAAUCUAGGAAAACUGACUGAAUGCUUUGGAAAGACACAGUCAAGAUUAACAUGCUGAGACUCGGGAGGUGGUGAUUUGCCUAGGGACACAGAAAAAUUAAAAAAAAUGUGUCACAAGAAAGUUUACAGAACCUACUCAAACUCAAAGAGAAAUCAGAGACUAAAUUCUCAAAACUGGAAGCUCCCUACAGCAUCCACACUCUUCAGCCUUGUACUAUGUGAUGUGUAUUACGAAUGGAGCCACCGGCAGUAUUUGUAUGAACAUGAGACAAUGUGUGGCAGAUGCUUGGUGCUUUGUAAUAUUUAGUAAAAUAAAACAAUAAUAAUGUAACUAUAA